ensembl:antisense Gm12195 predicted gene 12195
GGUCAAACUGUGUCACCCAGGCUAGUCUUGAACUUAUGACCCCCUGUCUGUUUCACACGGUGGGAUCACCAGUAGAACCAAAGCAUUUUAGGGCAUUUCAAGUUCUCCUGACCCACGCCACUUACCGUUUGGCCUGAUGACAGUUUGUGGCAGUGCUCUUUGUCAACAUCAUCAUUUCCUGGCAAAUGGGCAGGAAACCCCUAUCUCCUACCACCAUCUGCCUGAUCCUGCUCUUGAUUACUUAAAUAAUGAUGUAAUCGAAAAACCCUGCCUGUUGUUCCUGUUUGAAACGUAUUCCUUACUUCUCGAGGAAGUAGCUGUGUCUGGUGGGAUCUGAAAAUAUGCCGCGGCUGUCUUCUCGGCCCACAGAACCACUCUAUCUCUUAUUCACUUUUAAUACUUUUUGCUAACCUACCAUUUUUUACCUGAUCCCCCAUCUUUAAUAAAUGCAAUGGACAGUUACAAAAUA